UCUUUCCAUAAAAUAAAACUUGUCCUCAGAUAAAAUAAAAUGAAUCCAAAAGGAGAUGGAUUAAAGACAGAAAGAUUGAAUACUUCAGUUUUCCUCUCUGCCAGCUUUUCAGAAUAACGAGUUGCUGCCUGACGUCCUGGGUGUGGUGUGGUGAGGUGGGGGCACCGGCACAGUUCAGAGUCCUUUCACUUCUGACACUUGCACUCGGAGUCUCAGAUUGGCUCUCUUUGUUCUUUGACGUGGUCCUUCUGAUCAUUCAAGACACUGUGGGAUUCAGGCUCUUCCUUCAUUUGCCUUGGAUGGUCUCCAGAUGCUGCUCCAGGUACCCCUGGCUCCUGCUAGUGACAAGGGUUAUAGGAGGCCGUGCUCUGGGCAUCUGGUUUUCCAUGGUAUUGGCUGGAUGAUCAUGAUGGCAGGAGGACUUCUCAAGAAGGUGGGAGAGCCAUCGGCCAGAUAAUCAAGGUAUUAAGCUGGUGCUCUCAGACAUGCCAGUGUACCAAGCAUCGCCAUUCCACACACACAAAGACAAACUCAAUGGUAUUGCGAUCCAACUCAAUCAACGUCAAACUGAAUGGUUACACAAGGUGAAAGGUUAAGGUUCAUGUGUAUACCCCAGAAGUCGGCCUCUGAUGUUGUUCCUCCGGAGCUCUGUCUUGCUUACUGAGACAGAUUCUCUCACCUAGCAUAUGCAGCUUGCCCAUUAGACUACUCAGGGAUGCCAGCAAGGCCUAGAGAUCUUCCUGUUCCUGCCCAGCCCCCAACCCAGUGCAAGAAUCACAGGUGCCCACCGCCAUGCAUAAGGAUUAGAAUAUCAAACUCGGAUUCUUUUGCAGCAAGUCUCUGACUAACUGAGUCAUUGCCCAGCCUACAGGGACUUCUUUAAAUACACAGUAUAUGCUGAAUAUUCUUAAUUAUUCAGGAAGUGAAAAACCGUCAGCUGCUAAAACAACUACUUACCAUAGUAGCAUGUACAUCAUAAUGCUUAUUUGGUUGAAAGACAAGCCUUCAAAUGAAUACUGCUUCCAGGUAAGGCCAGCUCUGCACAGGUAUUUAGACGUGUUGGGGAUCUUGAUGCUUCUCCACUGUCUGGAGUGAUGGUGAGGGAUUCAGGAUUAAAAAUGGUGAGAUGCAACAACAUGAAACCAGAAUGCACACGUUCCAGGUCAAAUAUUUUCUUUUGAAAUAUCUAAACAGAUGAAUCUCCAGAGACAUAGAACAAAGCUGGCUCACCUAGAAAACUGGUUCAGUAGUAACUUCCAACCAAAAGUUUCUUAUAAGACUUCAGAUGAAUACUUUGAGACUUCUAAGCCCGACACAUGUCACCUAAACAGCAGUCAAUGAACUGAGCUGAUGUCAUGUCAAUUUUCAGGCUGCUUGCCUCUUAUUAUCUUGUCACAGAAAUUAGAAAAUGACAACCAUCUUGCUCUCCUGUGGACGACUUAUUAAAAACCCAGGAUGAAGAGGCUCUGUCAUUAUUCCUUGUGUCGUGGUAAAUAAAGGCAGUGCCCUGAUAUUCUCCCAAAGAGCCUUGUACACCAGCACAUUAAUAAAUCAAUCAUCCCAGGUCUCCUGUGUAGCACUUCCCUGUCACUGCUCCACAGAAGACAUGCUUAAAUUCUGGCCAAGCUGGCAUUACAUUUGACAGGAUCUAACGUUGCUUUAAUAUUCUGUGUCCAUAAAUAUACACAGCAAAUGGACGGGGAUUGCUCACUUCCAAUAUACCCAAUGGAUUUUCAGACUCGAGUGACACUCCAGCAAGAAAGAUUUCAUCUGAACUGACUUGAUAUUGAAAUCCGCAAAUGCCCUUGCUCUCAAAUUGUGCAGCUUGUUUCUGGGCACCAGUUUCUUUCUUUACACUAUAAAAGCUCUUUAGCCCACUAGUUCAUUCUUCACUGAACAGCCACCACCUUGAGCUGCUUCCUGUGGCAUAUCAAUGGUUUUAUUCUCUUGCUCAGUGAGUUUUACACUCCCAUUCUCUUAAACUGUGCAUGAAGUUCCUACAAGCAUAAGAAUGACUGACACAAAGACAUCACUGUUGUUUUCUGCUGCCACGCCAGGACACCGCAGCUUAGGUCACUGAAUCAAUGUCCCCUCAAAUUCUGCACUCUGAGAUCCAAAGACUAGGAGCUAGCAUUUGGUGAGGACCCUUUUCACUGGUUUACCACAUGGAGGAGGAUACCAAACAGCUGGCGAUAGCAAAGGUACCAGCUCAGGUGUCUUGUCUUCAUCUCUUAAAGCCACAGAUGCCAUCAUGGUGGCCUCACCCUGCUCAUCACAUCUAAGCUUAACAUCUCCCAACAUCUGCUCACCAAUGCUUUCAACAUCCAUAGCUGAAGAAAACAGGUUAGUGUUUAAAAGUAUAUCGCAACCAUGGCAACCAUAGCAGAUGUGAAAUUAUGUCUUCCCAAGCUAGCCAUGGAAGCUGGCCAUGGACUGGUAUCCCAGAGAAGGAGCAUUAAGGAUUUUGUGAGAGCAAUUAGUUCUUCUCCUUCUCCUUCUCCUUCUCCUUCUCCUUCUCCUUCUCCUUCUCCUUCUCCUUCUUCU